rnacentral:tRNA from 1 species
UGAUGCCGUGGCCGGCGGGCAGGGGCACAUUCUGGGCGGAUUUGACGGCGGCGGAAAUCGCCGCGGCGUUCGGAUCGCCGGUGACGCCC